rnacentral:rRNA from 1 species
GACGAACGCUGGCGGCGUGCCUAAUACAUGCAAGUAGAACGCUGAAGGAGGAGCUUGCUUCUCUGGAUGAGUUGCGAACGGGUGAGUAACGCGUAGGUAACCUGCCUGGUAGCGGGGGAUAACUAUUGGAAACGAUAGCUAAUACCGCAUAAUAGUAGAUGUCGCAUGACAUUUGCUUAAAAGGUGCAAUUGCAUCACUACCAGAUGGACCUGCGUUGUAUUAGCUAGUUGGUGAGGUAACGGCUCACCAAGGCAACGAUACAUAGCCGACCUGAGAGGGUGAUCGGCCACACUGGGACUGAGACACGGCCCAGACUCCUACGGGAGGCAGCAGUAGGGAAUCUUCGGCAAUGGACGGAAGUCUGACCGAGCAACGCCGCGGGAGUGAAGAAGGGUUUCGGAUCGUAAAGCUCUGUUGUAAGAGAAGAACGAGUGUGAGAGUGGAAAGUUCACACUGUGACGGUAGCUUACCAGAAAGGGACGGCUAACUACGUG